AUUGAACGCUGGCGGCAUGCCUUACACAUGCAAGUCGAGCGGUAACAGGUCUAGUUUACUAGAUGCUGACGAGCGGCGGACGGCUGAGUCACGCGUGGGAAUGUGCCCCAAAGUGAGGAAUAACUGCCCGAAAGGGUCGCUAAUGCCGCAUAUGAUCAUCGGAUUAAAGGAUUUAUCCGCUUUGGGAGCAGCCCGCGUUAGAUUAGGUAGUUGGUAGGGUAAUGGCCUACCAAGCCGACGAUCUAUAGCUGGUCUGAGAGGAUGAUCAGCCAGACUGGGACUGAGACACGGCCCAGACUCCUACGGGAGGCAGCAGUGAGGAAUCUUCCACAAUGGGCGAAAGCCUGAUGGAGCAACGCCGCGUGAAGGAUGAAGGCCCUCGGGUUGUAAACUUCUUUUAUAAGUGAAGAAUAUGACGGUAACUUAUGAAUAAGCACCUGCUAACUACGUGCCAGCCGCCGCGGUAACAC
rnacentral:rRNA from 1 species